rnacentral:rRNA from 1 species
AAUCAACGCUGGCGGCGUGCCUAACACAUGCAAGUCGAACGCGAAAGUGGAGCAAUCCAUGAGUAGAGUGGCAAACGGGUGAGUAACACGUGGGUGACCUGCCUUCGAGCGGGGGAGUAACGUCCCGAACGGGACGCUAAUACCGCAUAACAUCCCGCCUUUUAAGUAGGUGGUGAUCAAAGACCGGGGAUCGCAAGACCUGGCACUUGAAGAGGGGCCCG